AUGAAUGCUGGCGGUAUGGAUAAGUCAUGCAAGUCGAACGGGUAGCAAUACCAGUGGCAGACGAGGUAGUAACACGUAGGAACAUACACCGAAGUCAGGGAUAGCCAGCCGAAAGGUUGGGUAAUACUUGAUGGUCUCGCGAGAGUAAAGAUUUAUCGCUUCGGGAGUGGCCUGCGCAAUAUCAGCUAGUUGGUAAGGUAACGGCUUACCAAGGCUACGACGUUUAGGGGAGCUGAGAGGCUGACCCCCACCGAUGGGACUGAGAUACGGCCCAUACUCCUACGGGAGGCCGCAGACGAGAAUAUUCCGCAAUGGACGCAAGUCUGACGGAGCGAUACCGCGUGAAGGACGAAGUGCUUCGGCACGUAAACUUCUUUUGUCAGGGACGAAAUUAUUGACGGUACCUGAAGAAUAAGGGGCUCCUAACUCUGU
rnacentral:rRNA from 1 species